rfam:Oryza nivara chromosome 2, whole genome shotgun sequence.
AAAGACUCAAUUCGUGGAUUUUCGCGUCUAACAUUUGAUCAUCCGUCUUAUAUAAAAUUUUUUAUGAUUAGUAUGAUAAAACAUAAAUAUUUAUGCAUGACUUAUCUUUUUAAUUUUUUUCAUAAUUUUUUCAAAUAAAACGAACAGUCAAAUGUUAGACACGGAAACUCAGGAAUUGAGUUUUU